rnacentral:rRNA from 1 species
CCAGCACCCCGAGUGGUCGGGACGUUUAUUGGGCCUAAAGCAUCCGUAGCCGGUUCUACAAGUCUUCCGUUAAAUCCAACUGCUUAACAGGUGGGCUGCGGAAGAUACUAUAGAGCUAGGAGGCGGGAGAGGCAAGCGGUACUCGAUGGGUAGGGGUAAAAUCCGUCGAUCCAUUGAAGACCACCAGUGGCGAAGGCGGCUUGCCAGAACGCACUCGACGGUGAGGGAUGAAAGCUGGGGGAGCAAACCGGAUUAGAUACCCGGGUAGUCCCAGCUGUAAACGAUGCAGACUCGGUGAUGAGUUGGCUAAAUGCCAUCUCAGUGCCGCAGGGAAGCCGUUAAGUUUGCCGCCUGGGGAGUACGGUCGCAAGACUG